CCUACGGGAGGCAGCAGUGGGGAAUAUUGGGCAAUGGACGCAAGUCUGACCCAGCAACGCCGCGUGAAGGAAGAAGGCUUUCGGGUUGUAAACCUCUUUUAAGGGGGACGAGCAGAAGACGGCACCUCUUGAAUAAGCCACGGCUAACUACGUGCCAGCAGCCGCGGUCAUACGGAGGUGGGAGGUGUUGUCCGGAUUUACUGGGUGUAAAGGGGGUGCAGCCGGUGAGACCAGUCAGAUGGGAAAUCCACGGGUCCAACCCGUGACCUGAGUUUGAAACUGGUUCCCUUGAGUGUGGGAGAGGUAAUCGGAAUGCCUGGUGUAGCGGUGAAAUGCGUAGAUAUAAGGCAGAACACCAGUGGCGAAGGCGGAUUACUGGAGGAUAACUGACGGUGAGGCGCGAAAGCGUGGGGAGCGAACAGGAUUAGAUACCCGAGUAGUC
rnacentral:rRNA from 1 species